CGCUCGCGCGCAACGCU
rnacentral:rRNA from 2 species